rnacentral:rRNA from 1 species
GUAAACGAUGAAUACUCGCUGUUUGCGAUAUACGGCAAGCGGCCAAGCGAAAGCGUUAAGUAUUCCACCUGGGGAGUACGCCGGCAACGGUGAAACUCAAAGGAAUUGACGGGGGCCCGCACAAGCGGAGGAACAUGUGGUUUAAUUCGAUGAUACGCGAGGAACCUUACCCGGGCCUAAAUUGCACUCGAAUGAUCCGGAAACGGUUCAGCUAGCAAUAGCGAGUGUGAAGGUGCUGCAUGGUUGUCGUCAGCUCGUGCCGUGAGGUGUCGGCUUAAGUGCCAUAACGAGCGCAACCCUUGUUGUCAGUUACUAACAGGUGAUGCUGAGGACUCUGACAAGACUGCCAUCGUAAGAUGCGAGGAAGGUGGGGAUGACGUCAAAUCAGCACGGCCCUUACGUCCGGGGCUACACACGUGUUACAAUGGGGGGUACAGAGGGCCGCUACCACGCGAGUGGAUGCCAAUCCCUAAAACCCCUCUCAGUUCGGACUGGAGUCUGCAACCCGACUCCACGAAGCUGGAUUCGCUAGUAAUCGCGCAUCAGCCACGGCGCGGUGAAUACGUUCCCGGGCCUUGUACACACCGCCCGUCAAGCCAUGGGAGCCGGGGGUACCUGAAGUGCGUAACCGCGAGGAUCGCCCUAGGGUAAAACUGGUG